GUGUGUGGAGGAGACGUUUUCCUCCAGAGAUCCUUUGCUCCAUGCAGCUUUAACAUCAGCAGGUAUCGUGAUAAAUCAGUGCCGUCCCACUCAGAUGUGCUGAAUUGGGCCAUGUCCUCACCUUUAGUCACCCUUUUUUAAUUCUUUAUUUAGACGCUGGAAACAGAUUUGAUUUCCGAAAAGAGAAAGUUCAGCCACUGGACUGACAUGUGUUUUGUGAGAGUGCAGACGGUUUCCUCUGCUCGUCCUCUGGUGCUUCUGAUUCAGGUGUCUCGUAGACUUUGUACCACGGUUAGCUGAAAUGCACUGUACUGUAUCUGUACUCUGCCGUAACACUGAGGUCAUUAGCUUAUAGUGAACUGUGGAUUUAAUUUUAAAUUCAUCAGGAUUCCUGGCUGGCACAUCAGCUGGCUGUCAUUAUUAUUGGAGUUUUGAUAAUAAUGUAAUUAAAGUAACGAUAGUACAGCAGCUGCAUCCUUGUCUAGCUCC